rnacentral:lncRNA from 1 species
AAAUUUCAAUUUAUAAACUAAAAUUCCAAUACAUAAACCAAAAUUUCAAUUCAUAUCCUAAAGGUUCAACUCAUAUCCACAAAGGUUUAAGUCAUUUCCUAAAAUUCCAAUACAUAAACCAAAAUUUCAAUUCAUAUCCUAAAGUUCAACUCAUAUCUACAAAAGUUUAAGUCAAAUCCUAAAAUUUCAAUUUAUAAACUAAAAUUCCAAUACAUAAACCGAAAUUUCAAUUCAUAUCCUAUAGGUUCUGUGACGACCCGUCCAGUCGUCUCAUGUGUUACCGCUCCAUUUCCCCCAUUUCAGCUUCUUUACGCUUUAUUAUCCGUGUUUUAUGUGAUCGAAUUUAUUACUUCGAGUUCGGAGAGGAUUGGGUAAGAAAUGAGACACUUAGUCUCUUUUUUGAAGGCUUAAGUUGGAAAAGUCAACCGGAUGUUG